rnacentral:rRNA from 1 species
GAUGAACGCUGGCGGCGUGCCUAAUACAUGCAAGUCGAGCGAACAGACGAGGAGCUGGCGCCUCUGACGGUAGCGGCGGACGGGAGAGGAACACGGGGAUAACCUACCUAUAAGACUGGGGUAAUUUCGGGAGACCGGGGCUAAGGCCGGAUAAUAUAUUGAACUGCGUUGUUCAAUAGUUAAAGAAGGUUGUUCGUUCGCUUAUAGAUGGCUCAGAGACGCAUUAGCUAGUUGGUAAGGUAGCGGCUUAGCAAGGCGAGGAAGGGUAGACGCCCUCAAAGGGGACGCUGCCACGCUGGACUUGGGACACGGUCCACAACACUAGGGGAGGCAGCCGUAGCGGACCUUCCGCAAUGGGAGAAAGCCUGACGAAGCAACGCCGCGCGAGAGACGAAGCUCUUCGGAUCGUGAAACUCUGUUAUUCGGGAAGAACAAAUGUGUAAGUAACUCUGCACGUCUUGACGGUACCUAAUCAGAAAGCCACGGCUUACUUCGUGC